CUAGUUGGGAAGGGUGUUAUUGUUUUCGGAGUGGGUCGGGUCCUCGGGCCCAAGCCCAUACAAAAAAACAGCUCCCUAUUGGGGAUUAGGGGUUUUAAUUCCACCCAAUAAACAGAACUAGGGUUUUAACGCCUCCCCUAUAUAACCUCUUUGGUAUCAUCAUGAGUGUUGUUAUAGUUGUGCAGUUUGCAAGGCCAAGAGGUUCUAAGCUCAGCUUAGAAGAAUACUAUGGAGGUGAAGUAAGAAAUAACAUUCUAAUGGACUAGAACAGAAGCAAAGAGGAGGCAAACCUUGCUGGACGACUUAAGGAUUAAAGGAUGGACAUUGACAUUUUCUUAGAUAUAGGUAUCUGAAUGUGAAGGGGUGAUUCAAUUACAUUGUAAUUGUCACGAUUAGGGUUUUUGUUUUGGCUGUUGGUUUGCUAUUUAUUUAUUGAAUAUGUAUACAUUUCCUAUAAUAAAAUGUCAAUUUGGUUGUAAUUUUGAA